rnacentral:rRNA from 1 species
UACGAAGGGGGCUAGCGUUGCUCGGAUUGACUGGGCGUAAAGGGCGCGUAGGCGGCUUGCCAAGUCAGGGGUGAAAUCUUUCGGCUCAACCGGAAAAGUGCUUCUGAUACUGGCGGGCUGGAGGAGGGUAGGGGCAGAUGGAACUUCCGGUGGAGCGGUGAAAUGCGUAGAUAUCGGAAGGAACGCCGGUGGCGAAAGCGAUCUGCUGGACCCUUUCUGACGCUGAGGCGCGAAAGCCAGGGGAGCAAACGGG